UCCCAUGUUCAUAUGUGGCCGCAUUGCUGAGAAAAAUGUUUUAAUAUAUGCAAAUGAGCUUCUAGGAGCAACGGGGGCGUUACCAUUACACCUAGAGGCUGUGCUCUCUCUGCAACGGCCGCCCCUUCUCCACUUUAAUAGGAUCAGACAUGAUGACGGUUU